AACGAACGCUGGCGGCAGGCCUAACACAUGCAAGUCGAGCGAGGACUUCGGUCCUAGCGGCGGACGGGUGAGUAACGCGUGGGAACGUGCCCCUUGGUACGGAAUAGCCCCGGGAAACUGGGAGUAAUACCGUAUGAGCUCUACGGAGGAAAGAUUUAUCGCCAAGGGAUCGGCCCGCGUUGGAUUAGGUAGUUGGUGGGGUAAUGGCCUACCAAGCCGACGAUCCAUAGCUGGUUUGAGAGGAUGAUCAGCCACACUGGGACUGAGACACGGCCCAGACUCCUACGGGAGGCAGCAGUGGGGAAUUUUGGACAAUGGGCGCAAGCCUGACGCAGCCAUGCCGCGUGAAUGAUGAAGGUCUUAGGAUUGUAAAAUUCUUUCACCGGGGAAGAUAAUGACGGUACCCGGAGAAGAAGCCCCGGCUAACUUCGUGCCAGCCGCCGCUGUAAGAC
rnacentral:rRNA from 1 species